CUGGCAUCUGUUGCCAAUCUUCCUCUUUUUGCUUGAGGAAGACUGGCCCUGAGCUAACACCUGUGCCAGUCUUCCUCUAUUUUGUAUGUGGGACACUGCCACAGCAUGGCUAGUGAGUGGAGCAGGUCCAUGCCCAGGAUCUGAACCUGUGAACCCUGGGCCACUGAAGCAGAGCAAGUGGAAUUUUAACCACUCAGCCACAGGGCUGGACCUGAGAUGGUGCAUUUUUUUGCAAGAGUACCACAGAAGUCAUGUUCUGCCUUCUCAGUGCCCCAUUUCAGGGUGCAUGAUGCCAUUAUGUCUUAUUUCAGGUGAUGUUCACUUCGGUCACUUGAUUAAGAUGUUGUAUGCGAGGUUUCCGCACUGUAAGCAGUGUGUGGGGGUGUUUCCCGCAGCCUUGCUAGCAGAAUGCUCGCGCUCUCUAGUCUGCCAGUCUGAUAGGUAAGAAAUGGUGUCUCAGUGUCGUUUUAAUUUACAUUUCUCUAACUACAACAUUUUGAAAAAUAUAUUUAAGGGCCAUUUAAUAUUUUGGGGGUGAAUUGUUUCUUCUUUGCCCCCUUUUACGGGGUUUGUGGCCCUUUCUCCUGUGGUUCCCCAGAGCUCCUUACCUGUUGGUGUGUCUGCUGCGCAUACUGUCCCAGUUUACCGGUUGUCUUUGCCUUUGUUUAUGGGGUUUUGCCGUGCGUCCUGUUUGUUUUAUGUGGGCAGAUGAUCGGUCUUUUCUUUUGUUGCCUCUGUACUUUAACUCGUCGUGUC
rnacentral:lncRNA from 1 species